rnacentral:sRNA from 1 species
GCUGGGUGGGGUGGUGCACACCUGUAAUCCCAGCAGCUUAGGAGGCCAAGGCAGGUGGAUCACGAGUUCAAAGCCAGCCUCAGCAACUUCGAGGUGCUGAGCAACUCAGUGAGAUUCUCUCUCUA